rnacentral:rRNA from 1 species
UGUGUAGGCGGGCUUUCAAGUCAGGUGUGAAAGUCUACGGCUUAACCGUAGAUCGGCAUUUGAUACUGUAAGUCUUGAGUUUAGGAGAGGGAGGUGGAAUUCUUGGUGUAGCGGUGGAAUGCGUAGAUAUCAAGAAGAACACCGGUGGCGAAGGCGACCUUCUGGCCUAAAACUGACGCUGAGGCACGAAAGCAUGGGGAGCGAACAGGAUUAGAUACCCUGGUAGUCC